rfam:Gossypium arboreum cultivar AKA8401 contig_15148_3, whole genome shotgun sequence.
UGUUUAAAAUUUCAUCUAUUUCUACUAUUAAAAAUUGAUGUAAUUAAUAAAAUAACUAAACAGUUUCACAUAGAAUGUCAUGUCUAUCUUAUUCUAACAUACAACGAUCAAAUUUAGCAAUAAAAAUAGAUGUAAUUUUUAACA